rnacentral:rRNA from 1 species
GAUAAACGCUAGCGGCAGGCUUAACACAUGCAAGUCGAGGGGCAGCAUAGAUUGUAGCAAUACAAUUGGUGGCGACCGGCGCACGGGUGCGUAACGCGUAUGCAACCUACCCGUCACAGGGGGAUAAUCCGGAGAAAUCUGGUCUAAUACCCCAUAACAUAUGGAUCGGCAUCGGUUCAUGUUGAAAUUUUCGGAGGUGACGGAUGGGCAUGCGUAGCAUUAGCUUGUUGGUGAGGUAACGGCUAACCAAGGCGACGAUGCUUAGGGGGACUGAGAGGUCUUCCCCCCACGCUGGUACUGAGACACGGACCAGACUCCUACGGGAGGCAGCAGUGAGGAAUAUUGGUCAAUGGGCGCAAGCCUGAACCAGCCAUGCCGCGUGCAGGAUGACGGCUCUAUGAGUUGUAAACUGCUUUUGUACGAGGGUAAAGUGGGUUACGUGUAACCUUUUGAAAGUAUCGUACGAAUAAGGAUCGGCUAACUCCGUGCCAGCCGCCGCGGUAA